UACGAAGGGGGCUAGCGUUGCUCGGAAUCACUGGGCGUAAAGCGUGCGCAGGCGGCUUUGCAAGACAGAUGUGAAAUCCCCGGGCUUACCUGGAACUGCAUUUGUGACUGCAUGGCUGGAGUGCGGCAGAGGGGGAUGGAAUUCCGCGUGUAGCAGUGAAAUGCGUAGAUAUCGGGAGGAACACCAGUGGCGAAGGCGGCUUCCUGGCCUGCUCUUGACGCUGAGGCGCGAAAGCUAGGGUAGCAAACGGG
rnacentral:rRNA from 1 species